CACCGCCCGUCACAUCACGAAAGCCGGCUGUACUAGAAGUCGCUGAGCCAACCCGCAAGGGAGGCAGGUGCCUAAGGUAUGGUCGGUGAUUGGGGUG
rnacentral:rRNA from 1 species